GAUAUAAUAAUCUUCUACUUCAAAUUUCAAGAAUCGUACAUUUUUGUUGAACAAAUUUUAUUCCGAUUUCCAUGAACUUGGGGACAAUAAGAAAAUCAGGAAUGUACCUCAUACAAUAGGUUUCAGCUGCCUAUUGAUGAGGCACGAAAGAAUUUGUUGCAGCUGCAUAUUUUAACUCAAGCUGCAAGUAAUAUAAAAUCCAAUUGCAAAUCAAUCACAUAUACCAAUUUCACAGGCAGUGGACUAUAUCUACUUUCGUUUCAUUUCCUCCAUAUUCACUAAUUGUGCAGUCCACUGUCAAGAAACAAAUUUCCAUAGCCACUGGUAUAGCAAUCAAUAAUUGGUGUCAGAUCCAAUCCCAAUUUCUCAAAGCAUGUUUCCCCUUGAGGAUACUUAUGCUUGUACGCUAAACUCUCAACGCAGUAGAUAAACUAGAAAUGCCCAUUCUGCACCACAAACUUCACUUUAUUAACAAAAUUUUCGACCAAAAGGCAAAAUCUGAAAAUGAAAAAAAUCC
rnacentral:lncRNA from 1 species